GCCAGCAGCGAUAGCACGUUGAACGCAUCGGUUCCGGACUGAUCUCUGAAGUUAAGGAACGGUGCGAGUGGUUGGCAUCCGGAUGGGUGAC
rnacentral:rRNA from 1 species